rnacentral:rRNA from 1 species
AUUGAACGCUGGCGGCAGGCCUAACACAUGCAAGUCGAACGAGUGGCGGACGGGUGAGUAAUGUAUGGGAAACUGCCUGAUGGCGGGGGCUAACUACUGGAAACGGUAGCUAAUACCGCAUACCAUCGGAUGUGCCCAGAUGGGAUUAGCUAGUAGGUGGGGUAAAGGCUCACCUAGGCCACGAUCCCUAGCUGGGCUGAGAGGAUGACCAGCCACACUGGAACUGAGACACGGUCCAGACUCCUACGGGAGGCAGCAGUGGGGAAUAUUGCACAAGGGGGGCAAGCCGGAUGCAGCUAUGCCGCGUGUAUGAUGAAGGCCUUCGGGUGGUAAAGUACUUUUAGCAGGGAGGCGGUAUCCGAAGAAUAAGCACCGGCUAACGCCGUGCCAGCAGCCGCGGUAAUUC